GCCCUUGAAAGAUAAUAGCAAUCUAUU
rnacentral:tRNA from 1 species